GAUGAACGCUGACAGAAUGCUUAACACAUGCAAGUCAACUUGAAUUUGGGUUUUUAACUUAGGUUUGGGUGGCGGACGGGUGAGUAACGCGUAAAGAACUUGCCUCACAGCUAGGGACAACAUUUGGAAACGAAUGCUAAUACCUAAUAUUAUGAUAAUAGGGCAUCCUAUAAUUAUGAAAGCUAUAAGCGCUGUGAGAGAGCUUUGCGUCCCAUUAGCUAGUUGGAGAGGUAACGGCUCACCAAGGCGAUGAUGGGUAGCCGGCCUGAGAGGGUGAUCGGCCACAAGGGGACUGAGACACGGCCCUUACUCCUACGGGAGGAAGCAGUGGGGAAUAUUGGACAAUGGACCGAGAGUCUGAUCCAGCAAUUCUGUGUGCACGAUGAAGUUUUUCGGAAUGUAAAGUGCUUUCAGUUGGGAAGAAACAAAUGACGGUACCAACAGAAGAAGUGACGGCUAAAUACGU
rnacentral:rRNA from 1 species